rnacentral:rRNA from 1 species
AAUAGAUACCCGGUAGUCCACGCCGUAAACGAUGAGUGCUAAGUGUUAGGGGUUUCCGCCCCUUAGUGCUGCAGCUAACGCAUUAAGCACUCCGCCUGGGGAGUACGGUCGCAAGACUGAAACUCAAAGGAAUUGACGGGGGCCCGCACAAGCGGUGGAGCAUGUGGUUUAAUUCGAAGCAACGCGAAGAACCUUACCAGGUCUUGACAUCCCAUUGACCACUAUGGAGACAUAGUUUUUCCCUUCGGGGACAACGGUGACAGGUGAUGCAUGGUUGUCGUCAGCUCGUGUCGUGAGAUGUUGGGUUAAGUCCCGCAACGAGCGCAACCCUUGUUCUUAGUUGCCAUCAUUUAGUUGGGCACUCUAAGGAGACUGCCGGUGACAAACCGGAGGAAGGUGGGGAUGACGUCAAAUCAUCAUGCCCCUUAUGACCUGGGCUACACACGUGCUACAAUGGACGGUACAAACGGUUGCCAACCCGCGAGGGGAGCUAAUCCGAUAAAACCGUUCUCAGUUCGGAUUGUAGGCUGCAACUCGCCUACA